AGUUCUUCUAGCACCCAUAUCAGGUUAGUUACAAUUUUUGUUUGAAAUAUAUACUUAGAGUAGAUCUGUGUUGGUUAGAGGAUUUGAAAUGUAUAUUUGCACUGAGAGGAGAGGAGAGGAAAGGGGUUGGGGUUGGGGUUGGGGUUGGGUGUGCGCUGACAGAGGGAGGUGCGCCGCAACUCAGAGUCGCGGUUGAGGGGUGCCGCACCUGGGAGGUGCGGCUGGGCGUAGCCGCAUUUGGGAGAUGNGGCAGUCGUUAGGGGGGUGCUUGNGAGUUGCGGCAGAGUAGCUGACUUGCGGCAUAGGAGCUGAGUUGCGGCAGAGGUGCGAGUUGCGGCAGUGAGUUGCGGCAGGGAGGUGAGUUGCGGCAGAGGUG
rnacentral:lncRNA from 1 species